rnacentral:rRNA from 1 species
GAAUCUUGCGCAAUGGUCGAAAGACUGACGCAGCGACGCCGCGUGGAGGAUGACGCCCUUCGGGGUGUAAACUCCUGUUGCCCGGGACGAACCUCCCCUUUCGAGGGGACUGACGGUACCGGGUGAGGAAGCACCGGCUAACUCUGUGCCAGCAGCCGCGGUAAUACAGAGGGUGCGAGCGUUGUCCGGAAUCACUGGGCGUAAAGGGCGCGUAGGCGGCUUUUCAAGCGUGCGGUGAAAGCUCAGGGCUUAACCCUGAGUCGGCCGUGCGAACUGGGAGGCUGGAGCACGGUAGAGGCACAUGGAAUUCCGGGUGUAGCGGUGGAAUGCGUAGAGAUCCGGAAGAACACCGGUGGCGAAGGCGGUGUGCUGGGCCGUUGCUGACGCUGAGGCGCGACAGCGUGGGGAGCAAACAGG